rnacentral:rRNA from 1 species
CCUACGGGUGGCUGCAGUAAGGAAUAUUGGUCAAUGGACGAAAGUCUGAACCAGCCAUCCCGCGUGCAGGAUGAAAGCCCUAUGGGUUGUAAACUGCUUUUAGCAGAGAAGAAAAGCUUUCAUUAAUGAGAGUCUGACGGUAUCUGCAGAAUAAGCACCGGCUAACUCCGUGCCAGCAGCCGCGGUCAUACGGAGGGUGCGAGCGUUAUCCGGCAUUAAGGGGUUGAAAGCGUGGUAAUAAGGAGGUUGUGAAAUCUUGUCGCUUAACGAUAAAAUGGCCAAUGAUACUGGUACUCUUGAAUUUGGUUGAGGUUAGCGGAAUGUGACAUGUAGCGGUGAAAUGCAUAGAUAUGUCAUGGAACACCAAUUGCGAAGGCAGCUAACUGGGCCUGGAUUGACGCUGAGGCACGAAAGCGUGGGUAGCGAACAGGAUUAGAUACCCCAGUAGUC